rnacentral:rRNA from 1 species
UUUUAAAAGACCUUCUUCGGAGGGUAUGCUUAAAGAGGGGCUUGCGUCACAUUAGUUAGUUGGUAGGGUAAUGGCCUACCAAGACGAUGAUGUGUAGCUGGACUGAGAGGUUGAACAGCCACAUUGGGACUGAGACACGGCCCAAACUCCUACGGGAGGCAGCAGUAGGGAAUUUUCGGCAAUGGAGGAAACUCUGACCGAGCAACGCCGCGUGAACGACGAAGUACUUCGGUAUGUAAAGUUCUUUUAUUGAAGGAGAAACAAUAGUGGAAAAACUAUCUUGACGUUAUUCAAUGAAUAAGCCCCGGCUAACUAUGUGCCAGCAGCCGCGGUAAUACAUAGGGGGCGAGCGUUAUCCGGAAUUAUUGGGCGUAAAGGGUGCGUGGGCGGUUUAAUAAGUCUCUAGUUUAAUUUCAACGCUUAACGUUGUCCUGCUAGAGAAACUGUUUGACUAGAGUGAGAUAGAGGUAAGCGGAAUUCCAUGUGUAGCGGUAGAAUGUGUAAAUAUAUGGAGGAACACCAGAGGCGUAGGCGGCUUACUGGGUCUUUACUGACGCUGAUGCACGAAAGCGUGGGGAGCAAACAGGAUUAGAUACCCUGGUAGUCCACGCCGUAAACUAUGAGUACUAAGUGUCGGGGUUAAACUCGGUACUGAAGUUAACACAUUAAGUACUCCGCCUGAGUAGUACGUACGCAAGUAUGAAACUUAAAGGAAUUGACGGGAUCCCGCACAAGCGGUGGAUCAUGUUGUUUAAUUCGAAGAUACACGAAAAACCUUACCAGGUCUUGACAUACUCUGCAAAACUAUAGGAAUAUAGUGGAGGUUAUCAGGGAUACAGGUGGUGCAUGGUUGUCGUCAGCUCGUGUCGUGAGAUGUUAGGUUAAGUUCUAAAACGAGCGCAACCCCUGUCGUUAAUUGCCAGCACGUUAUGGUGGGGACUUUAGCGAGACUGCCAAUGAAAAAUUGGAGGAAGGUGGGGAUUACGUCAAAUCAUCAUGCCCCUUAUGAUCUGGGCUACAAACGUGAUACAAUGGCUAUUACAAAGAGUAGCUUAAACGCGAGUUUUUGGCAAAUCUCAAAAAAAUAGUCUUAGUUCGGAUUGAAGUCUGCAACUCGACUUCAUGAAGUUGGAAUCGCUAGUAAUCGCGAAUCAGCAUGUCGCGGUGAAUACGUUCUCGGGGUUUGUACACACCGCCCGUCAAACCACGAAAGUGGACAAUACCCGAAAGCGAUAGCCUAACUGCGCAAGCAGAGGGAAUCGUCUAAGGUAGGGUCGAUGAUUGGGGUUAAGUCGUAACAAGGUAUCCCUACCGGAAGGUGGGGAUGGAUCACCUCCUUCCU